UUCUAAGCAUCAAUCACCAAAACCCAUUCAUUCUAUCCAUUCAUGUUGUGAUAGAUAUAUAAACAGAAUAACAAGUGCAUGAUAAAAAUUAUAUGUAGUGGAGCAAAUUAAUACAAAUCCCUUAUAAAUAUAUGACUUCCAAUUACACACAUAUAACUGUGGCCAGAAGUGGUUGCAAAAUAUAAAGUCAAAAUACAAAAGAGGACUACUUCUUUCACUAAGCUAUUGGACUCAUCAGAGUGUGGGAACGAUCAUGCACUCAAGUUUUAUGCAUCCAUGGGUUCCUCAUAAACUUCAAUGGGUAAAUCAGCUGGCAGUUCCUUAUUUUCUUCCUUAUCUGGAGGGGGGGGUCAUGGAAAGAGUGAAUUACAUAUGCUCAGUAAGGAAAAAAAUAUUUAAUUAACAUCGUAAGGUUUAAAAGGUGAAUUAUUCUAACAUACAUACUUACCGUUUGAUUACUUUAUAGACCAAUGUUACCUUAUGAAAAUAAUUUAUUUAAUAGGAAAACCAUCACGUUAGUAUAAUCAAAACAAACACAGAUCAUACCAGAAAUAGAGAAAAUCAAAUAAAUCAUGAAAUGCUCAUAUUUUUGUGUCAUGUUUCGUGAAGUCAUUGCAGAUACCUUGGAUGAGGAUAGGGGAAUAGAUACUCCUCAGAAAUAAAAAGCCUAACGAGACACUUGAUGCAUUAUGCAUGUUAAAAAAAUAUACAUACUCGGACCAUUCAUGCUUCAUUCCACAUAUCUCUUUUUCUCUUUUUUUUGUUUCUUUUAUUUUUUAGGUAACCUUACCGGUUUCAUAUUAUUUUUAAAUACAUGCAAAUCAUCAAGUGUCUAUAAAUCACAUAGCAUGCUUGAAAUCAAGAACAAUUCAACUUAUUAAACUUACAAACACAAAAGCAUGCUAAAUAGGAAAAAUUACAAAUUGUCAAUUUAAUCUCUUUUUUUGUCUAAAAAUAUCCCCUAAGACGUUUGAAGAAAUACUAAAUUCCUUAUUAAAACCUUGAUAAUUUCUUGUACAUCGUUCUUCUUUUCUUCCUCUCCUUCUCCCUCUAGAUCACUUUCUCUCUCUCUAAUUCUUGAAAAGUGGAAGGAUGGAAGUGUGGGAAAAAUGAGAAGGGAGUGCCCCUAUUUAUAAAAAUUUGGAGCUGUUGGAUUUGAGCCAAGUAGCAAAAUUCAGUGAAGAAAGAAAAAUAUGCUCGACAUGAAAAAUAGUGGAAGGUCUCCUGCACCGGCAAUGCGCCCAGUGCGCAGUAGGCUAGCCUGCAGGUGCAUGGCCCAUCCUGCUGUGCGAACAAUGCUAGGCACGUUGGGUUCCGCGUGCACAAGGGUCAAUCCGCACAGGCCUGCUGUGCAGACAGCGUGCGCACAGUGUGCGACGCUUGUCCGCUCGCGAGGUGACAUGUUGACGGCCCACUUGCGCGCUACAGGACACGCCAGGGUUGACUCUGUGGUGUCCACGUGAUGGGACAUGUGCAUGUCCCGCACCAGCUGUGCACAUGUGUGUGUGGACAGUCUACAGGCGCUCGCGCAAACAGCCUUAUCCCACAGGGUUUUCCUGCAUGAUUUCCUCCCAUUUUUAUAUUUUUCGAAAAUUCAUUUUUAAUUAAACUAAAAUAAAAUAAAAUAAUAUCAACUAAAAUCAAAUAAAAUCAAAAUAAAUAAAAGUUGGCAUAAUUUAAGAAUUACGAUAAUAAUUUAUGGAGUAAAUUAAAUGGGUUCAAUGCGUCCUUAAGGCCCGAAUAAAUAGGGUUCUCUGAAUUAAUUAAGCACAACAAUUGGUGGGGUGUUAUACAUGCAUAAAACAAUAUCAUCUUAAUUUGUAAAAAUCACAUUUCAUGACACAUACAUACAUUAGCUUAACACAUGCAGCAUCACCCAAUUAAUUCAAGCAGUUUAAUCAUCAAAUGUAUAUAAAAAUCUCCAAUUAUGCAUCAAAGAGAUUUAUACGCAUCUUACUCAUUAAAGGCAUGAGAAAAAAGCUAAAUUGCACAAAGAAAAUGCUGGAAAUUAAAGAAUUCUUUUCUACAACACACAGUAGCUACACUUGCAAAGUAGGGUGAUGAUUUUAAGUUAGAUUUUGAGUUUAAAAGUUUUUUUACUUUUGGAAAAUAAAAUGCUAACACUCCUAACACAUUAUCUUAGUGAUUGACUAUAAAUUUUUGAAAGGAAACACGAAAAAAAAGUUAAAUUGGAUGAAUAACAAAUGCUUACCUAAACAGAGGCAUCGUUUAGGUGCAGUAGCGAUGGUUUUAGAUUUUAGAGUUUUCUACUACAUUUCAAGAGCUAGAUUUUUGUGUAGAAGUGACUGUAAGACAUUAAAGAGAAAACAAAACAAUUAAGAAGAAAAAGAAACAACUUACCUCAGUGAGAAGAAGAAGUUCCCCUCUUUUAUUACACACACAGAAUGUACACUCUACUCUGGUGCGUGACUCUCUCUCUCUAUUAUUUUAUGCUCUCAACCUCCCCUCGCAUUCACUCGUUUAACUAGAAUUUUCGGUUUGAAGAAGAUGAAGAUAAAGUUGUGAAGAGAAGGAAGCUUUUAACUGAAUUUGGUCCAUCAUCUGACCGUCCAAACGCAUACAUGACAUCAUAGUCGUUGGUGCUUUAAUUGGCCGACCAAGGCUGACAUGGAAGGCCGAGUUUUUUUCUUGACAUCUGGUCGAUCCUCACAACAGCCCACCAUGUGGCUCGGUUAUGGCCAUAAUUGUCGUGUUAGUGGGUG
rnacentral:lncRNA from 1 species